rnacentral:rRNA from 1 species
UACGUAGGGUGCGAGCGUUGUCCGGAAUUAUUGGGCGUAAAGAGCUCGUAGGCGGUUUGUUGCGUCUAUCGUGAAAACCUGCGGCUUAACUGUGGGCUUGCGGUGGAUACGGGCAGACUUGAGUUCGGUAGGGGAGACUGGAAUUCCUGGUGUAGCGGUGAAAUGCGCAGAUAUCAGGAGGAACACCGGUGGCGAAGGCGGGUCUCUGGGCCGAUACUGACGCUGAGGAGCGAAAGCGUGGGUAGCAAACAGG